GGAGAGCUGGCAGCCAAAGCUGCAGAAGGGCACUUAGGGCAGAGUGGGUCCCGAGGCCCCCCGCUGGAAGGAGGGCGUGGCAAGGGUUUUGCUGGGGCUUUUGGAGGCUAGAGCUCGCGCCAGGACGGGAGGCAAGGGGGUGGAAGUCAGAACCCGAGAGAGCCAAGUUACUCCUAGGUGAACGCGCUGGGCAGAGAAAUAUGUAAAUCAGGAUUCCCCGUGCCCUCGAGAGUGGCGCAAUUACGCCCCCAGAGCAAGAAGCAACAAGCUCCCGGCGGGUGAGCUGCGGAGGGUGGCGGUGUCGCGGGGGAGGGAGCGGCUGCAGCAAGGCUGUGGGGGUGGGAACCUCACACCCUCACACCUAGUUCCCUGUGCCCCGGAGCCGGGGCUCCCCCCUCCGCCCGUCGCUUCUCUCCCUUCCCCCUUUCCUCCCCCUGCCUCCCCCUCCCUCCUCCUCCCUGCCGGCCUCGGUCCGCGUACUUAAAGCAGCGCGGGCGGGCGGACGCGGGCGGGCGGCCCGGUCGGGCGGUGGCAGAUGCGCCCAGCGGUGGCAGCCGCCGGCGGCGCGCAGGUGACCGGCCUGCUGCACAGCCUAGUCAGGGGGCGCCCGGGAGAGCUGGCGGGAGAAGGAGGCAGAUCCGCCCCCAGCGCGCGCGCGUCUCGGCGCCAGGAGCCGUCCCGGGGCGUGUUGGCGAGUGCUGAUAUAGAUAUAAGGACAUUUCUCUCCAUGGCGUCACGUGACAUAAUUACCACCAGAAUCAAUCAAGAUGAAUUGCACGUCAGCGCCCGGUGGGGAUUUUUGCUUAGUUGAUCCUGGCCCAAGCCUCUUGUGCAAUCGAUGGCUCAGGUUGGCGGCGCGGGGAGCGGCCCGGGGCUCGCCGGCGUGCACGCCGCGGAGCCAUGAACGACUUUGACGAGUGCGGCCCGAGCGCAGCCAGCAUGUACCUUCCCGGCUGCGCCUACUAUGUGGCCCCGUCGGACUUCGCUAGCAAGCCAUCAUUCCUUUCGCAGCCGUCGUCCUGCCAAAUGACUUUCCCUUACUCUUCCAACCUGGCGCCACACGUCCAGCCGGUGCGCGAAGUGGCCUUCCGCGACUACGGCCUGGAGCGCGCCAAGUGGCCGUACCGUGGCGGUGGCGGCGGUGGCGGCGCAGGGGGCGGUGGCGGCGGGGGCGGCCCUGGCGGGGGCGGCGGCAGCGCCGGGGGCUACGCUCCCUACUACGCGGCGGCUGCGGCGGCGGCGGCGGCGGCGGCGGCGGCCGAGGAGGCAGCCAUGCAGCGGGAGCUGCUCCCGCCCGCGGGCCGCCGGCCAGACGUGCUCUUCAAGGCGCCCGAGCCGGUGUGCGCCGCGCCCGGGCCGCCGCACGGGCCUCCAGGCGCCGCCUCUAACUUCUACAGCGCCGUGGGUCGCAAUGGCAUCCUGCCGCAGGGCUUCGACCAGUUCUACGAGGCAGCCCCAGGACCCCCCUUCGCCGGGCCGCAAGCUCCGCCGCCGGCGCCGGCGCCGCAGCAGCCCGAGGGCGCUGCCGACAAGGGCGACCCCAAGAGCGGGGCUGCUAGCGGCGGGGGCAGUCCCUGCGCCAAGGCCACCCCCGGCUCAGAGCCCAAGGGGGCAGUGGAAGGCGGCGGCGGUGGCGGCGAGGGCGAGGGCCCUCCGGGGGAGGCGGGGACCGAGAAGAGCGGCGGCGCAGUGGCCCCCCAGCGGUCCCGGAAAAAGCGCUGUCCCUACACCAAGUACCAGAUCCGCGAACUGGAACGCGAGUUUUUCUUUAACGUGUACAUAAACAAAGAGAAAAGACUCCAACUCUCUCGGAUGCUCAACCUCACUGACCGGCAAGUCAAAAUAUGGUUCCAGAAUCGCAGGAUGAAAGAAAAAAAACUGAACAGAGACCGUCUGCAGUAUUUCACUGGAAACCCCUUGUUUUGAGAGCUCCAGGAAGCGCCCCCUACCCCGAGCCCCACUCGCCCACCUUCCUCCCCUCCGGCUUGCCCAGCGCAGGCCCAAUGUCCUUGGCUUUAGUGACGCCUCUUCUCUGUGGAACUUCACGAUUCCUUCCCACGGCGAACUCGGGACCUCCCAGCGACCACUGCAUCCUGCGGACCAGGCCGGGGACUUGGCCGAGCGGAUCCUAAUAAGGGGAAAAUGUGGGAUUUUGGUGACUUCUGGCUGGCGAGCCAUCGUCGUCAGAGGCUAGGUUGAAGCUAGUCUUGCCCACCUGGAAACUGCCGGGGCCUUCAUUCCAGGAGCAAGGACAAAGCAGCAGCUUAGGAUGGCAUCGGAUGCGAUUCUGGCCCCCUUUUCCUCAUCCCCAUCCCUAUUCCAAGCACAAGCAAGCCCAGGCCCCAGAGAAGCCAAGGAUGGGAACAAUCCCACAUAGGUGCUCCGAGAGUCUUCAAGGACUCUCAAUAUUUAUUCAGGAUUGUAAACUUCACCCCGAAAAAACAAGAACUUCCCAAGUCCUCCUUUAGAACCUUCUGAGGAUGUAAUUUUCUGGAGAUGGGGUAGGAAUAGAGUCAGAGAGAUCAGCUUCAGUGCUAGGUGAGGCAACCCUGGAGAAGAUUCACCCCAGACUUCGAGUGAUUGGGUCAAAGAAUCAGGGUCGUGUUAAUCUAGCCGUUUCUGCCAGCUUCGCAGGGAGCGCCAUUAGUUGUUGAUAGGGGGCUCAUGGC